AUUGAACGCUGGCGGCAGGCCUAACACAUGCAAGUCGAGCGGUAGAGAGGUGCUUGCACCUCUUGAGAGCGGCGGACGGGUGAGUAAUGCCUAGGAAUCUGCCUGGUAGUGGGGGAUAACGUGCGGAAACGGACGCUACUACCGCAUACGUCCUACGGGUGAAAGCAGGGGACCUUCGGGCCUUGCGCUAUCAGAUGAGCCUAGAUCGGAUUAGCUAGUUGGUGAGGUAAUGGCUCACCAAGGCGACGAUCCGUAACUGGUCUGAGAGGAUGAUCAGUCACACUGGAACUGAGACACGGUCCAGACUCCUACGGGAGGCAGCAGUGGGGAAUAUUGGACAAUGGGCGAAAGCCUGAUCCAGCCAUGCCGCGUGUGUGAAGAAGGUCUUCGGAUUGUAAAGCACUUUAAGUUGGGAGGAAGGGUUGUAGAUUAAUACUCUGCAAUUUUGACGUUACCGACAGAAUAAGCACCGGCUAACUCUGUGCCAGCAGCCGCAGUAAGAC
rnacentral:rRNA from 1 species